ensembl:miRNA Mir6900 microRNA 6900
UCAUGUGCCAGGAGAAGCCUGGAGCCGUCUGGACUCUGAUGGUGAUGGGCUCUCUUGUAG